rnacentral:rRNA from 1 species
UACGAAGGGUGCAAACGUUGCUCGGAAUUACUGGGCGUAAAGCGCGUGUAGGCGGACCACCAAGUCGGACGUGAAAGCCCUGAGCUCAACUCAGGAACUGCAUCCGAAACUGGCGGUCUGGAGUGGUGGAGAGGAAAGCAGAAUUCCUGGUGUAGAGGUGAAAUUCGUAGAUAUCAGGGAGGAACACCGGUGGCGAAGGCGGCUUUCUUGGACACUUACUGACGCUGAGAACGCGGAAAGCGUGGGGAGCAAAC